GUUAAAAAACUGUGUUCUCUAGGUAUCUCUAAGAGGUAGGAGUGUAUCUGUGUUCUCCAGGUAUCUCUAAGAGUUAGGAGUGUAUCUGUGUUCUCUAAGAGGUAGGAGUGUAUCUGUGUUCUCUAAGUGGUAGGAGUGUAUCUGUGUUCUCCAGGUAUCUCUAAGUGGUAGGAGUGUAUCUAUGUUCUCCAGGUAUCUCUAAGAGGUAGGAGUGUAUCUGUGUUCUCCAAGAGGUAGGGGUGUAUCUGUGUUCUCCAGGUAUCUCUAAGUGGUAGGAGUGUAUCUGUGUUCUCUAAGAGGUAGGAGUGUAUCUGUGUUCUCCAGGUAUCUCUAAGUGGUAGGAGUGUAUCUGUGUUCUCUAAGUAUCUCUAAGUGGUAGGAGUGUAUCUAUGUUCUCCAGGUAUCUCUAAGAGGUAGGAGUGUAUCUGUGUUCUC